rnacentral:rRNA from 1 species
UACGUAGGGCGCAAGCGUUGUCCGGAAUUAUUGGGCGUAAAGAGCUCGUAGGCGGCUUGUCACGUCGGGUGUGAAAGCCCGGGGCUUAACCCCGGGUCUGCAUUCGAUACGGGCAGGCUAGAGUGUGGUAGGGGAGGUCGGAAUUCCUGGUGUAGCGGUGAAAUGCGCAGAUAUCAGGAGGAACACCGGUGGCGAAGGCGGAUCUCUGGGCCAUUACUGACGCUGAGGAGCGAAAGCGUGGGGAGCGAACAGG